UGCGCACGCGCAUGGUCGCCCCAGGGGGAAGCGCAGGUUGCAUACGGGCCCCGCGGGUCGGCGGCCUGGUUGCCAUGGCAGCGGGGUCGCGGGCCGGCGCCAAGGAAGGUGCCGAAGGUGCGGGCGGCUAGGGCUGCCCACGGAGCCCCAGACCCGGACGCCCGAUCCCGCAGCCCUGAGGGGCGGUCGGGCAGCGCCGCCACCAUGUUCCUGGGCACCGGGGAGCCGGACUCGGAGACGGGAGAUGACAGUCUGUCUGCAGUCACCUUUGACUCUGACGUGGAGACGAAAGCAAAAAGGAAAGCUUUCCACAAACCUCCACCCACAUCGCCAAAGUCACCUUAUCUCUCUAAGCCAAGAAAAGUGGCCUCCUGGAGGUCCCUCAGGACGGCAGGGAGCAUGCCUCUGGGCGGCCGAGCGUCCCUGACCCCGCAGAAGCUGUGGCUGGGAACCGCAAAACCAGGAAGUCUGACCCAGGCCCUGAACUCACCCCUCACCUGGGAGCAUGCGUGGACCGGCGUCCCCAGCGGCACUCCCGACUGUCUGACAGAUGCCCUCAGAGUGAAGAGGCCACAUCUCAGGCGCUCUGCCAGCAACGGUCAUGUCCCUGGGACUCCUGUCUACAGAGAGAAAGAAGACAUGUAUGACGAGAUUAUUGAGUUAAAGAAGUCAUUGCACGUGCAGAAGAGCGAUGUGGACCUGAUGAGAACGAAGCUCCGGCGCCUGGAGGAGGAAAACAGCAGGAAGGACCGGCAGAUAGAGCAGCUCCUUGAUCCCAGCCGCGGCACAGAUUUUGUUCGGACUCUGGCAGAGAAAAGGCCCGAUGCCAGUUGGGUCAUUAAUGGGCUGAAGCAGAGGAUCUUGAAGCUGGAGCAGCAGUGCAAGGAGAAGGAUGGCACCAUCAGCAAACUCCAGGCUGAUAUGAAGACCACCAACUUGGAAGAGAUGCGGAUCGCCAUGGAGACAUACUACGAGGAGGUGCAUCGUCUCCAGACCCUCUUGGCAAGUUCUGAAACCACCGGAAAGAAGCCCCUGGGGGAGAAGAAGACGGGCACCAAAAGGCAGAAGAAGAUGGGCAGUGCCCUCCUGAGCUUGUCCCGGAGUGUCCAGGAGCUCACAGAGGAGAACCAGAGCCUGAAGGAGGACCUGGACCGCGUGCUGAGCACCUCCCCCACCAUCUCCAAGACACAGGGUUAUGUGGAAUGGAGCAAGCCCCGGCUGCUGAGACGCAUUGUGGAGCUGGAGAAGAAACUAAGUGUGAUGGAGAGCUCAAAACCACAUGCCACAGAGCCAGUCAGAUCACACCCGCCAGCCUGCCCUGCAUCCAGCUCUGUGCUGCACAGACAGCCACGAGGGGACUGCAACAAGGACCACGAGCGUCUCCGAGGGGCUGUGAGAGACCUGAAGGAAGAGCGGACCUCCCUGCAGGAGCAGCUGCUGCAGAGAGAUUUGGAGGUGAAGCAGCUCCUGCAGGCGAAGGCUGACCUGGAGAAGGAGCUGGAGCGCGCAAGGGAUGGCGAGGAGGAGAGGAGAGAGAAAGAGGAGGCUUUGAGAGAGGAGAUUCAGACGCUUACCAGCAAGCUCCGAGAACUGCAAGAAAUGAAGAAAGAAGAGAAAGAGGAUUGCCCGGAAGUUCUUCAUAAGGCCCAAGAGCUCCCAGCUCCCACUCCCAGCAGCAUACACUGCGAGCAAGACUGGCCGCCGGAGUCCAGUGAGGAGGGGCUCCCGUGGCCCCGCUCCCCCUGCUCUGAUGGGAGAAGAGACGCCGCGGCCAGGGUGCUGCAGGCCCAGUGGAAGGUGUACAAGCACAAGAAAAAAAAAGCUGUUCUGGAUGAGGCAGCUGUGGUGCUUCAGGCAGCUUUCAGGGGACAUCUGGCACGGACAAAGCUCUUAGCAAGCAAAGCAUGUGGCUCAGAGCUGCCCAGCAUGCCAGGCCUCCCAGACCAGGGUGUCCCCGGGGCCGAGCACCAGGAGCCAGCAGGGGGCUGCCAAAUAGUCGUCUUCCCUACUGUCCUUGUGCCCCAGAGCUCUCCCGUGCCCCGUGUUCCGAGCCCCAUCGCCCAGACCGAGGGCAGCCCUGCGCAGGAGGAGGCCAUCGUCAUCAUCCAGUCUGCUCUGCGGGCACACCUGGCCCGGGCCAGGCACAGCGCUACCGGUAAAAGAACCACCGCCGCAGCUUCUACGAAGAGGAUAUCGGCUUCAGCCACACACGGGGAUGCCUCCUCCCCACCCUUCCUCGCAGCUCCUCCUGCCCAAAAACAGUCAGUGAAGAAGCCGCUGGCGCUACAGGAUGCCACACCCUCAGGUGAGGCCUCAUCCCUGCUCUGCCGCAGCUGCCCGGAGCUGACGGGGAUGCCCCAGCAGGACCCUGCCUUUCUCUGGCUGUCAGUCCCUUCAUGUGCAAAGUAGAGAACAGGCUAGACAGCUCAAAAGCCACUCUGCACCCCCAAAUCUAUGCUGCUCUGCAUAGACUUGAGAUCCCGUGUGUUAUCCUGCAAUUAGAAACCCCUCAUUGACGCUUCCUGUAAAGGGAGGAUGAGUGCAGAGGCACAGUGUUGAGACACAGGACUGUCGGGAGAUGGAGAAGGGCGGCCUUGAGACCCUGUUGAGGAGUGUGGCGUGCAGGGCUAUGUCGCGUGGGUAGUGUUAGGUGAAGGGCUUUGCUGUGCUGAGUCCUUAGGUCUCCAGGGUGGAGUCAGGGAGGGAGGAGACAGAACAGCAAGGAAAACCACAAAGGAAGAGGCUCUUCUGAGCCCAAAGGAUGAGGGUGAUGAAGGCCGGGGGUGAAGGAAGGGUGAGGCCUGCCCGGGACCUACACGCCUUAAUGAGAAUGUCCCUUCAGGACGGGCCCAGGGAGGCGGCGGCCCCCCAGCACCACUCCAACCCCUCUCCCGCAGGGCCGCAGCCCGUGGCACCUCCACCUGGGGAUGACGUCAACUCCGAUGAUUCCGAUGAUAUUGUCAUCGCCCCAUCUCUGCCCACGAAGAAGACCUUUCCAGUCUAGGUCCCCGUCACUGUCUCCAUGACGUGAUGGCAGCACUGCUGAGGACACAGGAGCCACGACUGGAAAGAUAAUUUGUCGUGUUAGGAGAAGAAUGAUACCUACUUAACAUCUCAACAUCGGCGUCGUCUCUCUGUGCUUUUGCUUGUGGAAGGAAACCCAAAUGCCUUUACUUUAUUCUCUGGGGAGGGCCAGCGGCUCGCAUCCCCCUCAUCUCCAGCUGCAGCUGGGAUGGUGGGUUUUCAUUGCCGACAGACACGUCUGCCGUGAGCUCGCGGACACCAGGGAGCCCUGUAGUGACAUGUUAUCUGACCACCUCGCCACCUGCCCACGACCUUGACCAUGAGGAGCUGCUGUCCGCAGCUAGCGCCGACACCACGCCCCCUCUUCCUGGUGACACCCAUGACAACCAGGAUUUGCUUCGAUCUCGGCCCAGUAGGCCAGGCAGAGGCGCCCCGCUGUGCCUUAGGAAGGUGUGAGACCGGCUUCCCCCAUCCCCACAGCAAAACACGACAUGUCCCAAGCCAGUGAGGAGCUAAAGACACCCAGGUCCCCAAAUGAGCCUACUCCAUGCCCCACCUGCCCACACCAUCCUUUCCCGUCACCCUCGCUACCCCCUGGAACACCGCCCUCCAGAGCUGCCCUUCCCAGGAAGGAGUUUGGUUGGAUUCUGUCACUGUGGAGACAAAGUCUUUUCUUUAAUUCCAAAUUAUAAUCACAAAAGCAGCAUCACACUUGCUUUUGAGAACAUCAGGGUGAUGUCUGUUCCCAA